rnacentral:ncRNA from 24 species
CCUGUACGCCUUGUUUCGGGUGCCCCUCACGGGGUGAAACGGGAAACCGGUGCGCUCACGCUGUCGAGCAAGUCCGGUGCUGCCCCCGCAACGGUAAGCGAGAGAAGGUCUUAUCCACUGUGCUACGGCAUGGGAAGGUGACCUUGCAGGCCUUGAACGCGCGACGUUUGAGCCCCUCGCGAGCCCGGAGACCGGCCCGACAUCGUUGAAUGACA